GCAGCAGCCACGGUAAUACAGAGGGUGCGAGCGUUAAUCGGAUUUACUGGGCGUAAAGCGUGCGUAGGCGGCUUCUUAAGUCGGAUGUGAAAUCCCUGAGCUUAACUUAGGAAUUGCAUUCGAUACUGGGAAGCUAGAGUAUGGGAGAGGAUGGUAGAAUUCCAGGUGUAGCGGUGAAAUGCGUAGAGAUCUGGAGGAAUACCGAUGGCGAAGGCAGCCAUCUGGCCUAAUACUGACGCUGAGGUACGAAAGCAUGGGGAGCAAACAGGAUUAGAUACCCCCGUAGUCCCUGUCUCUUAUAC
rnacentral:rRNA from 1 species